GUGCCCUAAUACAAGAGACCCCCAGAGAGCUGUCUCUCCCUAUUUUUCUGCCAUGUGAGAACCUGACCAUCCUGAUCUUAGACUUCCAACCUCCAGAACUGUGAGAAAUACCUUCUUCCUGUUGACUCAGAAAGGAAGAAAAAGAGCCUCGUAUGAUAUUGGAACUCAGACUGACUUUUUGAGGUAAUUGUGUUUUAGCCAGAACCCCAGCAUCAGUAUCGGCGGCUCUGUGUUUUAGAGAACCAUCACUUCGACUAAUUUAAUGUCUUCCCAGAACUGAACGCAGAUCUCCUUGAGCCACAGCGCUGUGCGGGGCCUCACCCAGAGAUGGACACCUUGCGUCCCCAUGUUAAUUCCUCCCACACAACGGGGGGAGUGUCCCUGUCACUAGAACAUUUUUCUGGACUUUGACAAAAGACAUUCAGUCCUGGAGGAAAAAUGCAGGGACCAAACCACGUACCGGCUGUGGAUGUUUCCAACCAUAACCAUAUUUAGCAUUAGGCCACGAAUUUAGGAACACAGGGCUGACGCCAUGUAACUACUAAUCCUGACAAACUUCUGGUAUAGAGAAACCAUCUCAGCCGACCAAGGAGAGCAUCAUGAGCCAAGCUGUUAGGAGACAUCAGGCGCACAUAUUGAUCCACCCUGGCCUCUGUGUGACUUUCCAGUUUCUUCUAAUAUCUGUCCCCUUCAUGCAUUCAGCAUGAUGAAAAUUAUCUGCAAAUGGGAGGCAGCUCAGUCGGGGGAGUCCUAGCUCUGUCCAAAUCAUAAUGUGUCUUAUGAAAGAAGUCUGCUACAUUUGGUCCCCUCCCCUCUGGCCUCUCAAACAGAAGUUGGAAAGCUGGCUGCCAGGGUCCCUUCCACCUCCCAUUGUCCAUGGCUCUAAGGACUUUGAGGUGUUACGCCUCAAAAAGUAGGGUGCCGGGGCACCUGGGUGGCUCAGUUGGUUAAGCAUCUGCUUUCAGCUCGGGUCAUGAUCACAGGGUCCUGGGAUCAAGUCCCGUAUCAGGCUCCCUGCUCAGUAAGGAGUCUGCUUCUCUC